GCCGGCGUAGCUCAGGGGUAGAGCAACUGAUUCGUAAUCAGUAGGUCGGGGGUUCGAUUCCCCCCGCCGGCU
rnacentral:tRNA from 1 species